GACGAACGCUGGCGGCGUGCUUAACACAUGCAAGUCGAACGGAAAGGCCCUGCUUUUGUGGGGUGCUCGAGUGGCGAACGGGUGAGUAACACGUGAGUAACCUGCCCUUGACUUUGGGAUAACUUCAGGAAACUGGGGCUAAUACCGGAUAGGAGCUCCUGCUGCGUGGUGGGGGUUGGAAAGUUUCGGCGGGUGGGGAUGGACGCGCGGCUUAUCAGCUUGGUGGUGGGGUAGUGGCUUACCAAGGCUUUGGCGGGUAGCCGGCCUGAGAGGGUGACCGGCCACAUUGGGACUGAGAUACGGCCCAGACUCCUACGGGAGGCAGCAGUGGGGAAUAUUGCACAAUGGGCGGAAGCCUGAUGCAGCAACGCCGCGUGCGGGAUGACGGCCUUCGGGUUGUAAACCGCUUUCGCCUGUGACGAAGCGUGAGUGACGGUAAUGGGUAAAGAAGCACCGGCUAACUACGUG
rnacentral:rRNA from 1 species